rnacentral:lncRNA from 1 species
AUGGUUUCAUUUCUGUGAAAUUUAAGCUCAGGUUUGCCCAUGUGGCAUUUCCACAGGAAUUGAUAAUGACAUCCUUAAUAAAAUCCAGAAGAAAAAUAUUUGUGUGCAUGAAGAGAAGGUGUACAGGGGCUCUUUGUCCAUGACCAUUUCUGUUGUGCAAUGACACAAGGUGGUUACAUCACCAAGUUUCACUCGAUGCUGAGAGAUGGGUGUCACUACGUCAGCUGCA